CCUUUUUAUAAGACCCUUUUAAGUACUGGAAGACUGCAAUGAGGUCUCCCUGGAGCCUUCUCUUCUCCAGACUGAACAUCCCCAACUCUCUCAGCCUGUCUUCAUAGGAGCAGAAGAAAAUCGCCAUUAGAGGGAGUUUUGGAAAGCAGCAGUUCAGACAGCUAGGACUCAUAGGUGAAACAGACCCUUGGCGGAUUCUUGGGCAGGAAUAGCAAAAAUCUGUCGAGUAUAUUUUUCCACUGGGGACCUACUCACCCAGAAAAGGCCUGCAUGUGAGCUCCAUCAGCCAGAGUAUCUAAACCUGGAUAGAGCACUAAGGAAUUAAGAGCUGGAAGCCAGCCUAUGCCAUCCCCAGGAAAUGGCUAGACCCAAGCAGCUUAAAACCUAUCAUAAUAGUUAGAAUAAACAACUAAUCCCAGCAAGAACACAUCUGGACCUCAGGGGCAGACAGGCACGUACCAGAGCACUCCAGUAGCUGAAGUUCCACUCUUAACAGCAGCUAAACCCGAUGCAAUCAUCUAAGACAGCACGAAGAAGCAAAGGUUGCCCUGACGCCCCAAAGCUGAACUAGACACCGUAACAAACAAGGGACAGCGCACAGAAAACAAUCCCAAGACCCACCUUUUACCUGGGACUCAUCAACCAACGGCAGACGACGAGGGUAAGCCACAAAGAGCUCUACAACGAUGAGAAACAGCACCUGUCAGGACACAGAUGAUGCUCCCAAAGAGGGAACCAAGAGCUUCCUGCGUAGCUAAUGCUCCCUUCCACGCCUCUUCACACAGGAAGCACUACUGGGAGGGAGAGCACUCCAAGCACUUCAGCGGGAAUGAACAGCAAGGAGAAGGAAAAACAAAGACUUCUUCCCGCCAGAGCAGCAAGUGUGGAGGAUUUCACUCUAUCUGGGUUGAAGAGCCUAGAUGCGCUUGGACUUCGAAGAUUCCAAGCAUGCACAAGCAAGGUGCACAGCUCUGUGGACCUGCUGGUUAUACUGGAGGUGCACCACAGUUUAACUCCAGGGCAUCUCUGGCAGCUGCCAUGGAAGAGCAAAGAGCUGGUGGUUCCAGCGUCGCGCCAGCCAAGUCACCUCACGCAGCAGUUCAUCCCCGCUGUUACACAGCAGCAAGACAGCAACCUUCCCAAACCAACACAAUACGAUGCAAAAGGUAGAGGGUUUUAAAAUACAUCAUUUUUUCACUUUCUUCAACUGAACAUCUGUGGUUUUAAAUUUGUAAGAUUUCAGUUAGGUGCUGCAUUUUUUUUUUUAUUUUUUUAGCAGGCAUCUAGAAAGAGGAAAGGGACUUUCAGGGGGAGGCAGAUGUAGUGGCACCUACAACAUUAUAACAGAAAAUACUGAACACCACAAAACGGAUCUUCUAGGUAUCAAAGAUACAGGUCAAGGUGGCAAGGAGGCACUGAUCACACCAUUUACACAGCAGAAAUGGCAAAAUACAUGAAAAAAAAAAAGAAAACAAAGACUCUAUAGCAUUUAGAGUAUGAAUGCUCUGGAAAAAAAAACUCCAAUGAGGAUGGCGAUUAUUGUAGAAAAAACAAACUGACACAUUCCCAGGAUUUUCUUUCUACCAAGGAGAAAGAGGGAAUCGUGCACCAGUGUGGACUCGGUGAUCUUCGUAUCAGUAUCAGCCCCAGGUGUAUUACAUAUCCACGCACAGCUACAGCCAGCCAUGGCACUGGAGUCAGAGGAGGUCCUGCUUUGGCACUGACACAGCCUUGCCAUGAGACCUUGGGCAAAUCACUUCCUCCGUGACUCAGUUUCUUAUCCUGCCUGCUGUGAAAGUAGCAAAACAACGUGCACAACCCUGUGCAGAGACCUGGCAACAGAUGGACAGACGGACUGAGCUGCGUGUCACUGCUGCAUGCCCGGCAUGAACCAGUAUUUGGAUGGGGUCGAGAAUUGGAGCCGCACUCACAGAGCAGCUUACACAGGUCAGCAGCAGACAGCUAAAUCUUGUAGUGCUGCUCUGCAGGGACACACCACAGCCAAAGGUGUGCAAUUGUCAUCUGCACCGCACUGUCAGGAUCCCUUUGCGUCGCAUGCCCAGGACACAACCAUAGGACACCACAGCCCUACACCUUGUCGAAUAGCACUGCCCCCAGGGCGUGCAGACGUUGCAAGCAACAACACAACAGCCUGCCCUGUCAUGUAGCAUUACUUACGUGUUCAGAUAUGCAUCCUUCUCACAUUUCUACUCCAGCAAGUGGUUGCUAGCAGAGCAGGGCUAGGACAAGUUCACCACCUGCUAAAGACAUGUCCCUAAUACAACACAGCGAAGAUUUUGUUACAUCGGUUCCUUUCUGUGCACAGCUCAAGCACAAGGAAAGAACAUACGUCUAAGAUUCCUCCCCCCUUCCUUUUUUUUUUUUUUUUUUUUUCUCCUCCAAACUGACCGCAUGUCUGAUUUACCUCAGGAGAGAACAGCAGCACAUCGAUCAAGGCACUGAAAGAAAGAGGGGAGAGAGCUGGCAUCGAGGGCAGGCUCAAACAAGAGCAUUUACUUCAACCCUACCUACAUGAAGUGCAAGGACUCCAAACAGAGGAAUCCCUGCUCCAGUCCUCGCUGGGGCUUUAACACCACUGAUAAUGCCUUGCAAAAUCCAGAGCGGCCCAGGCAAAACCAGGCACGGUGUCAGUUCAUUCUUCCACUGGCAGAAGGCGUUCAGUCUCCCUGGCUCUUCCAGAUCAUGACCCCCUGCAUGCUCACAGUGACAGGGAAAGUACAACGAGCGAAAUGCACACCCAACUACUUCAAGAGCCUCCCCUCCAAACUGGAUUUCCCUGGGCCAAAGACCAAGAGGAGGCCACCUGCGACCAAGACGCCAGACUUCACUGUGAGGCACUACAACCAGCAACCCAGAAGCUCCUGACACAUUUUACUCUGCUGGCCAAAGCCAUUAACUUACUGCUGCCAGAAGAAACUGGGGAGGCAUGAAUAUGACAUACGACGUGAUGCAGUCAGCCCCAGCCUCCUGCUCAGUGCCCUCCUGUUGGGAGUCAGGCCCUGCUCUAUCUGACCAGGUGGGUCCUGUGGCCCCCUCCAUACCCCGUGGGAUCUUCCUAUGCUGCAUUUGUAAAGGCAAAAUGCAGCCUGCACUGGAGCACCAGAGGAGAAUUUAAUCAGGCUAAGCAGUCCUCUUCCCAAAUAAGAAUACCCUACUGCAGUCACAGUGCAGCUGACACACCAUCUUCUUGCAAAAACUUAAACUCCUGACACAAUUCAGGAUCACAAAGGUGCUGAGUCUCCAGAUGUUGUACAUUUUGCUAUUACUGCAAUAUCAGAUGCACUCCUAAAGCACACGUUUCCAGGCAUGGCACUGUUCUUCAAGCCUUCUCCCUUGACAGUUACUUCCACACGCUCUGAAUGACCAUGCCAGACUAAUGUUCUCAUGAGCUCAGAUGUUCAUUGCAGCCCACAUCCACUGCGGUGUGCACAAAGCCCUGAUACCACUAGGAUUCUGGCACAGGAGAUGAGCUCAACUCCUACUACAGCACCCUGGUCUCAGGUGGCCUCUGCUAUGCGCUACAGCCAUAUGAAGGGUACCUACAGCAUCACAGGCCCGUGCCAAGUGCCAGGAGACAGGUUGCUUGGAAGCUAGCUCAUCAGCAGCCUCGUGCAACUGCCAGCAGCACGUCAGGAUACAGGGUAAGUGGUUCCUAAACUACUUGGGCCAGGGCUGCAGUGUUCUCAUUGCAUGGGGCCCUGCGCAGACAUUUGCUUCACUGCUUACUGUCUCAUUAAACCGCUGUUGUCCUGA